GACAGAGGAUGCAAGCGUUAUCCGGAAUGAUUGGGCGUAAAGCGUCUGUAGGUGGCUUUUCAAGUCCGCCGUCAAAUCCCAGGGCUCAACCCUGGACAGGCGGUGGAAACUACCAAGCUGGAGUACGGUAGGGGCAGAGGGAAUUCCCGGUGUAGCGGUGAAAUGCGUAGAGCUCGGGAAGAACAUCGGUGGCGAAAGCGCUCUACUGGACUGCAACUGACACUCAGGGACGAAAGCUAGGGGAGCGAAUGGG
rnacentral:rRNA from 1 species